rnacentral:lncRNA from 1 species
CCACUCAAGCAUCUUUUUUUUCCAAUUCUUUAUUUUUAAAUUGACAAAUAGAAAUUGUAAAUAUUGGUCAUGUACAACGUGUUGUUUUGAAAUGUGUUUACAUUGUACAAUGGCUAAACUGAGCUCACUAACAGAUGCAUUACCUCCCAUAGUUAUCAUUUUCCUGUGGUGAGAAUAUGUAAAAUCUACACUCAUAGCAAUUUUCAAAUAUAUAAUACAUUGGUAUUAGCUACACUUCCCAUGUUACACAAUAGAACUCCGCAGCGUCUUCCAGUCUAACUCAGAUUUUUCAUUCUUUGAUCAACGUCUCUCCAAACCCUGCCCCUAAGCUUCUAUUGCCAUCUCCUACCUACUUUUAUGAGUUAAAACAUUUUUAGAUUCCAUGUAUAAGUGAGAUCAUGUGGUAUUUGUCUUUCUGUGCUGGCUUGUUUCACGUAAUGUUCUCCAGCAGUUCCAUCCAUGAUGUGUCAAGUGAUAGAAUUUCAUUUGUGUGUGUGUGUUUGUAUGUGUGUGUCUCAAUAGCAUUCCAUUGUGGAUAUGUACCAUGUUUUCUUUAUCCUUUCAUCCAUUCAUUGGUAUCCAGCUUGACUCUAUAUCUAAGCUACUGUGAACAAUUCAACAAUAGACAAGAGCAUACAGGUAUCUCUUUGGUAUGCUGAUAUCAUCUCCUUUGGAAAUAUAACCAGAAGUGGGAUAGCUGGAUCAUAGGGUAGAUUUGUUUUUAACUUUUAGAGGAAUCUCCAUAUUGUUCUACAUAAUUGCUAUAAAUAAUUUACACCAGCCAACAGUAAUAUAGAGGUUCCUUUUUUUUUUUUUUUUUU